CAUUUAAAGACUUCUCUCUGUGUGCAUGUCAUGUUGUACACGCUUAACGAGUCACCUGUGACUGGAUCUACUGUUACCAUGGAUACAGCGUCACCUGCUGUGAGCCGCAGAUUAAAUAUGACAGGGCCAAAACGGACAUGGCAGCAAGUCAAAAUCAAAUACAAGAACAUUCUGCAGAAUGCAGUGAAAAAGAGAACCCACAGACAAGACACGGGUGGUGGGUCACCAAUAGCUGACCUUACCCCAGACGAGGACAUAGCCUUGGAGCUAAAUAAAGGCAGGCUCGUGUUGGAGGGGAUCCCUGGGGGGACAGAGACAAGCAUAUGUUCCUCCCAAGAUGCCACCUGCUUCAUACAAGUUUCUGGCAGCACUGUCUCACUGUUAGAGCCACCAGCCCCAGACAAUGCUGAUCCAUUGAGUGCUCCAUCAAAGACAUACUUUAGGCCUGGCAUGUCUUGUCUACUAGCUUAAAUAUGAAUCCCAUUAAAUGUGAUGAAUAAAAAAAUAAAAAAUGUUCCAUGCACUGGAAUCCGAAAUAAAAAAGAGGACAAUUAGAAAACUGGACCUUGAAAUAAAAAAACUUGAGCAGGAGCUCCAAGAAGAUGACACAUCUUAAAUAAAAAAAUAAAAAACAAUGGCUGUGACAAUGGCUUGCCCAUUCUUGCGAGAUGUGGUGGAUGAGGAAGCACUUGUGCUCAGGAGAGGUGCCCAUGAGGCGGAUUUUAUGAAUAGGAAAUCCUAUCACAGCAUUAAUGUUCAGAUUGUCUGCAAUGCUGACUGUCUGAUCAGGAAUGUUGUGGCAAAAUGGCCUUGCUCAGUCCAUGACUCCAGAGUCUUUCGGACCUCUGAAAUCUAUCAGCGGCUAUCACGAGACAGGGGGUAUGCCUGCCAGCCAUAUCUCCUGACACCAUUCACAGACCCCCAGGAAGCACAGCAGGCCAACAACCAUGCCCAUGCCAGGACCAGAGCCAGAGUUGAAAUGACCUUUGGCCUCCUGAAGGCACGCUUUCAGUGUCUUCGCAAGACAUGUGGCUUGUGCUGUCCUCCACAAUGUGGCCUGCCUGAGGAAGGAGAGGGCCCCCAGAGUGCCACCAGCCAUCCUGCAAUCUUCCCUGAUGACGACAGUGGUCGGCUAGUGAGGGACCAAUAUGUGUUUAAUUAAUUGUUAAUUGCUAGCUAACAUGCUAAUGCUAACAUGUUAAUGUUAAUUGCUAGCGCAUGAGCGCUAACAUGCUAAUGCUAAC